GGACACGCCAUACGUAAUAGUUUUUACCUCGCGUUUAAUAUAAGUCAUUUACUGACCUCAUCUCUGCUGAUUCUUGGUACCAUUAAGGAACGCCAUCUACUUCUGUUUCCCUGGCUAAUCAACAGAGGAUUAGUCCUUUUCGGAAGCGCAUUUUUGACAAACUAUUAUAUGAAAGCAAAUGAUAGUCUCUCCAACCUGCAAUGCCUGGUCUUUAUCUCAUUCAACUGUUUUCUCAUCUCUGGGAUCUACUCGCUUUUAAAUGAUAUUAAGAAAUCUAAUGAACUUGAACUUCAGCGGCUUCGUUUGGAUACGCCAGAUAACAUCGAGGACAAAUCUCUUUUGACCAAGUUAGACUGGAAUUCUUAUGUAUAUCAUAUAUAUAUACAUAUCUUUGUAUGAUGUGAACUUUCCCGAUAAUGAAGAUACUGAUAAUUUAUUGAAAAGAUCAUAAUUACUUUUAUGUUGUUAAAAAACAUCCCCAUUAUUAAUUUUAAACUUUUUCGACAUUGAAUGUGCUGGAAA